CGGCGGACGGGUGAGUAACGCGCUGGGAAUGUGCCCUUCUCUACGGAAUAGCCACUGGAAACGGUGAGUAGUACCGUAUACGCCCUCAGGGGGAAAGAUUUAUCGGAGAAGGAUCAGCCCGCGUUAGAUUAGGUAGUUGGUGGGGUAACGGCCUACCAAGCCUACGAUCUAUAGCUGGUUUUAGAGGAUGAUCAGCCACACUGGGACUGAGACACGGCCCAGACUCCUACGGGAGGCAGCAGUAGGGAAUCUUGGACAAUGGGGGCAACCCUGAUCCAGCCAUGCCGCGUGAGUGAAGAAGGCCCUAGGGUCGUAAAGCUCUUUCGCCUGUGAUGAUAAUGACAGUAGCAGGUAAAGAAACCCCGGCUAACUCCGUGCCAGCAGCCGCGGUAAUACGGAGGGGGUUAGCGUUGUUCGGAAUUACUGGGCGUAAAGCGCGCGUAGGCGGAUUGGAAAGUUGGGGGUGAAAUCCCGGGGCUCAACCCCGGAACUGCCUUCAAAACUCCCAGUCUAGAGUUCGAGAGAGGUGAGUGGAAUUCCGAGUGUAGAGGUGAAAUUCGUAGAUAUUCGGAAGAACACCAGUGGCGAAGGCGGCUCACUGGCUCGAUACUGACGCUGAGGUGCGAAAGUGUGGGGAGCAAACAGGAUUAGAUACCCUGGUAG
rnacentral:rRNA from 1 species